rnacentral:rRNA from 1 species
AAGGUGGCCUGUGAGGGUUGCUGGAGGUAUCAGAAGUGCGAAUGCUGACAUAAGUAACGAUAAAGCGGGUGAAAAGCCCGCUCGCCGGAAGACCAAGGGUUCCUGUCCAACGUUAAUCGGGGCAGGGUGAGUCGACCCCUAAGGCGAGGCCGAAAGGCGUAGUCGAUGGGAAACGGGUUAAUAUUCCCGUACUUGGUGUUACUGCGAAGGGGGGACGGAGAAGGCUAUGUUGGCCGGGCGACGGUUGUCCCGGUUUAAGCGUGUAGGUGUGUGUUCCAGGUAAAUCCGGUUCACUUUAACACUGAGGCGUGAUGACGAGGCACUACGGUGCUGAAGCAACAAAUGCCCUGCUUCCAGGAAAAGCCUCUAAGCAUCAGGUAACAUCAAAUCGUACCCCAAACCGACACAGGUGGUCAGGUAGAGAAUACCAAGGCGCUUGAGAGAACUCGGGUGAAGGAACUAGGCAAAAUGGUGCCGUAACUUCGGGAGAAGGCACGCUGACACGUAGGUGAAGUGAUUUACUCAUGGAGCUGAAGUCAGUCGAAGAUACCAGCUGGCUGCAACUGUUUAUUAAAAACACAGCACUGUGCAAACACGAAAGUGGACGUAUACGGUGUGACGCCUGCCCGGUGCCGGAAGGUUAAUUGAUGGGGUCAGCGCAAGCGAAGCUCCUGAUCGAAGCCCCGGUAAACGGCGGCCGUAACUAUAACGGUCCUAAGGUAGCGAAAUUCCUUGUCGGGUAAGUUCCGACCUGCACGAAUGGCGUAAUGAUGGCCAGGCUGUCUCCACCCGAGACUCAGUGAAAUUGAACUCGCUGUGAAGAUGCAGUGUACCCGCGGCAAGACGGAAAGACCCCGUGAACCUUUACUAUAGCUUGACACUGAACAUUGAGCCUUGAUGUGUAGGAUAGGUGGGAGGCUUUGAAGUGUGGACGCCAGUCUGCAUGGAGCCGACCUUGAAAUACCACCCUUUAAUGUUUGAUGUUCUAACGUGGACCCGUUAUCCGGGUUGCGGACAGUGUCUGGUGGGUAGUUUGACUGGGGCGGUCUCCUCCUAAAGAGUAACGGAGGAGCACGAAGGUUGGCUAAUCCUGGUCGGACAUCAGGAGGUUAGUGCAAUGGCAUAAGCCAGCUUGACUGCGAGCGUGACGGCGCGAGCAGGUGCGAAAGCAGGUCAUAGUGAUCCGGUGGUUCUGAAUGGAAGGGCCAUCGCUCAACGGAUAAAAGGUACUCCGGGGAUAACAGGCUGAUACCGCCCAAGAGUUCAUAUCGACGGCGGUGUUUGGCACCUCGAUGUCGGCUCAUCACAUCCUGGGGCUGAAGUAGGUCCCAAGGGUAUGGCUGUUCGCCAUUUAAAGUGGUACGCGAGCUGGGUUUAGAACGUCGUGAGACAGUUCGGUCCCUAUCUGCCGUGGGCGCUGGAGAACUGAGGGGGGCUGCUCCUAGUACGAGAGGACCGGAGUGGACGCAUCACUGGUGUUCGGGUUGUCAUGCCAAUGGCACUGCCCGGUAGCUAAAUGCGGAAGAGAUAAGUGCUGAAAGCAUCUAAGCACGAAACUUGCCCCGAGAUGAGUUCU